GACGAACGCUGGCGGCGUGCUUAACACAUGCAAGUCGAACGGAAAGGCCCUGCUUUUGUGGGGUGCUCGAGUGGCGAACGGGUGAGUAACACGUGAGUAACCUGCCCUUGACUUUGGGAUAACUUCAGGAAACUGGGGCUAAUACCGGAUAGGAGCUCCUGCUGCAUGGUGGGGGUUGGAAAGUUUCGGCGGUUGGGGAUGGACUCGCGGCUUAUCAGCUUGUUGGUGGGGUAGUGGCUUACCAAGGCUUUGACGGGUAGCCGGCCUGAGAGGGUGACCGGCCACAUUGGGACUGAGAUACGGCCCAGACUCCUACGGGAGGCAGAAGUGGGGAAUAUUCCACAAUGGGCGGAAGCCUGAUGCAGCAACGCCGCGUGCGGGAUGACGGCCUUCGGGUUGUAAACCGCUUUCGCCUGUGACGAAGCGUGAGUGACGGUAAUGGGUAAAGAAGCACCGGCUAACUACGUG
rnacentral:rRNA from 1 species